CCUAUUAACCGCAUACAUAACUCUAUGAAGCAAGGCAAAUGAAUCACAGGAUAUGAUGUUACACGCAGCGUCACCUCCUUGAUACUACGACGUCUGUACUGAUACACUAAUCUACUUUAAGUGCAGUUCAAACAGUGCGGUACAAAAAUACUCCAACGAAACUGGUGUUGUGAACUUGAUAAUGUUAAUAUUUUCGUUCAUUCCACAUUAAGUGAAAAUUUUACUAAAGUUAUAUAAUGCAAAGGAAUACUUGGAUCAUGGUAUAAGUGUUAGAAUUCCCUAGUGUCAUAAUUACAAAAAUGUGUGUACUAAAUAAUAUCGUCAAAAAGGAAACAAAUAUGCGACGCUUCACGAAAGAACAUGCACCUCGCCAGCUUUUGCAAGUCACAUUUUUGCUUCCGAGUGUAUCUUCGCAACGGUCAUGAAUAUUAAUAAACAAUUAUUGAUAUUUAAGUAUAUAUUAAAUUGUUUAAAGACAUCAUAAAUAAAUUUAGUCAUUUGU